CUACGGGAGCCAGAUCUCGUCUCUGACUUCGAUUGAAGGAAGACUCUGGCCGGACUCCUACGGGAGCCGGACUUCAUCCCCGACUUCGACUGCUGGUAAACUUUGUUCGGACUCCUACGGGAGUCGGACUUCAUCCCCGACUUCAACCGCAAGAAGACUUCAACCGGACUCCUACGGGAGCCGGACCUCGUCUCCAACUC
rnacentral:lncRNA from 1 species